GACAUAAGCCUGACUCAGAAGGUAUUAAUCUGUGUGGGAUAAAGGAGGAAUCCAAUGUUCUGUGAAUGCGCUGUCUGCUUAAUAUAAAAGUGUGCUCUGGUCCCCUUGGCUGGAAGCUGUGGACAAGAUCACAUCACUUUAUAAGCUCAAACUCUAAUCAGAAGAAACCUCAGAAGCAAAGUAUGUCAGUGUUAGAGGUGACUCCAGACGCACAUCAGAGGACUACAGGAAUCGCCACAGCUUGUGAUUUUAAAAGUUAAAGGAGGAUCAAAGUCUCAUCAAUUGUCCAUCACAGAAGUAAAAGUUCCACCACUGAGCCACUUUCGGGACAGUGCCUCUGCUCCUUCAUUUUUCCUGCGAUGAUUUAUUGCAUGGAGUGGACCAACUCAGGUAUCAAAAAGUACAUAUACUUCACAACUGAAUGUAAAUGAUUCUGUAUCAAAAUAUUUGAAUGAUCAACUGAUAAAAGUUUGUGAAAA